rnacentral:rRNA from 1 species
AGCGAACGCUGGCGGCAGGCCUAACACAUGCAAGUCGAACGAAGUCUUCGGACUUAGUGGCGGACGGGUGAGUAACACGUGGGAACGUGCCUUUAGGUUCGGAAUAACUCAGGGAAACUUGUGCUAAUACCGAAUGUGCCCUUCGGGGGAAUGAUUUAUCGCCUUUAGAGCGGCCCGCGUCUGAUUAGCUAGUUGGUGAGGUAGAGGCUCACCAAGGCGACGAUCAGUAGUUGGACUGAGAGGAUGAUCAGCCACAUUGGGGCUGAGACACGGCCCAAACUCCUACGGGAGGCAGCAGUGGGGAAUCUUGCGCAAUGGGCGAAAGCCUGACGCAGCCAUGCCGCGUGAAUGAUGAAGGUCUUAGGAUUGUAAAAUUCUUUCACCGGGGACGAUAAUGACGGUACCCGGAGAAGAAGCCCCGGCUAACUUCGUGCCAGCCGCCGCGGUAAUAC